UGGGUGAUACCGAGGCUGUGGAGGAGAGGCUGGCCCACCCGGGGUUCAAAUCCCACCUGUGCAUCAGACCCCAAGAUCUCCCGCAGGGUGGGGCCAAGAGCUGCUCAAGACUGAGUGUGGAUGAUUCUGGUAUGUGAAUAGCGUCAGAUGGCAGAAGGCCAGAAAACCCUCACCAGCAUCUAACACAAUUCUUUCAGACAACAGGAAGCUUCCCCCUCACCCCCGAGAGGAAGGGACUUGUCCAAAUUUGCACAACCAGGUGGUUCAAAGUCACAGACCUGAGCUCCAGGCCCGAGACGACUCCACCUUCGAGGAAAUUCAGCUAAUGCAGGGCCUUGGGAGACAGGCAUGGGCUGGAGCUACCCACCUGGGUCCCUAACGGACUGGCCUCAGCAACACACCUAUGCCAAACAGGAGACUUUCUGACACAGCUCACAGGCUGCCAACCAUGUCCCAGUAGGCUGGGAGGGAGAAACUGAGGCUCAGACAGGUGGCCUGGCUGGGACUUGCCCAGGACAUUGGCUUCGGGGGCCACACCCCUCCUCCUGCCCCAUGGUUCCUGUAUUCCACUGUGCUCCAGCCAACAGCAUCUCCUGAGGUGGA